rnacentral:tRNA from 1 species
GAGGGUGUAGCUCAGUGGUAGAGCACAUGCUAGCAUGCACAUGGUCCUGGGUUCAAUCCGCAGCACCUGCA